rnacentral:tRNA from 2 species
CAAGGAAUAGUUUAAAUAAAAUUUUAAUUUUGGAGAUUAAAGACAGGAUGAAUAUCUUUUCCUUGA